AAAAAUUGGAUCGGCUCUGGCAAUUUCUUCAAAUAAGACAACAAUGAAGUUUGCCGCAUCGAUUGAUUCUUCCUUUCGUGAACGAUUUCUCUGUAGCGUGCAAUGCUGUUUGAUAGCAUUUUAUCCACAGUAGAACUUCUUUUAAAAUU